CCAGGAGGAAGAAGCUCUUUACUGUGGAAGAGAAAAGAAACCUGAUGAGGUAGCAAUGUCUGUCACUGCUGUGAGAUGAAGAAACCCUGGGAGAUCAGAGUAGGAGGAAAGAGAUAGAAGCAUGCAGAAUAUAUGUGUCUAGGAGUCCACAGAAGAAGUCUUCCUAAACUGCGUUUAUAGCGGGGUACCACAUCCCAUUCUUGGGGCACACAGGAUUGGGCCUCUGAAGCCUUGGGAGUACAAACCUGGAUUCCUCCAUUUGCGAUUCCCCAGGUGCCUAUCAACACUCCAGGCUGAUUGGCUGCCUCAACCCCAGGACCGCACCAAACUAUCAAACUUGCUCCAGUCAGUGAGGUCCCAGGAUUUAGACCACAAAUCUUGCUAAUCAGCAGUCCUAGCCCCAGAAUUGCACUGGAUUGCCAAACUCUCUUUGUUAUGGUCUCCAAGGAAUGUCACUGUAAGCAGGAAAAGAUGGGGUUUCCCCACUUACAGAAACAUGCCCCAAACUUCUCAUGUUGUCCAGCAAGAUCAAUGGAUGGGACGAGUAAUGUGCAUUAUGCCCAACGAAGCAGAUGAGCCAUGCCAAGACACAUCCAAGCACAGCGGAUCUGCUUCAUUUGAUGAUGACUAUUUCCAGCCCAAAAGAGACAAAAAUUGGAGCGAGAGGAAGCCUAGCUCCAUCAACACAAAUAUCUGCAGGGAAAACGGCAAAAAUGAUUAUAUGCAUCUUCUACUCCUGGGUUCAUUUGAGCAUGCAGAUUUUUGUCUUGUCCUUCCCCUCAUUGAACAAAUAUAGAGUCUAGCCUGGCUGGGGGGCAAUUUGACUUGUAAAAGCAGCUACCCAGGAGGACUGAGAUUUAUUGUCCCAUUACUAAACAUAAACAUUUGUAAUCUGUUUAAAUCAAUGUCAAUCUUAGGUCUAUUUUUGUUAAGCCAUUCAAGGCAUUAGGGGGCAAAGUGUAAAAUGUUGAACAAAACACACAUGAAUCUCUCUGCUUCACCAACUAUGUCAACUCUGUUACCUUGACUCUUCCAUUUCUCUCACAUGCAUCCCUGUGGCCUUCCCCCCAGC